AUAAAUUCAGUGUGUUUCUCGGCGCACAAAGCUAUAAAUAAUGGCACAGAUCAUUAAACCCCGAGAGCAGGCCCAGCCGCCCCGCAAACAAGAUGAAGUACAAACCACCACGUGAGGAGGAGAGAGGGAGGUGCAAGGCAGAGCCCCAGACCCAGGGCCAGCAGGCCCCAGCCUGAACCUCUCAGGUGCCCACAGAAAUGGGCUUGAGGAUGGACCACAAGAACUUCUCAAAGCACCUGGACUAGUAACAAGAGCAUCCUACACCCCUCCCUCUUUGUUCCUCUGAUCUCUCCUCCUGUCUUCCCUUGCCAAGCUCUUUCUAUUCUCUCAUCUUCUCAUGUCCUCCCUUAAUUCCCUUUCCAAUCAUGCUGCCUCAAUAAACUUCAAGUUAGCUUUCUGUUCACUCUCAUGGCAACCCCUCCAACCACCAGCAGGACCUGGUGUGACUGCACAUGAUCAGCAGACCCUUCGUUUUGGGGCCAGUUGUCAGGUAGCAACCCCUGAAAAAAUCAUACAGCAGCUGAAGUGAAAUACAACAAUGUCUUCAGAGCACUUUUACCCACAUUCCUUCUAAAAAGAUCUGAGAUGGCCUACCGUAUAAGACACAGAUCAUUUAGGCUGAGGAUACCUUCUGCCUGAGAGACCCCUCCUCUUGGAGUUACUCUAAAGAACAAGAAAUGCCAGACCAGGGUCCAACAGGGAAACUGAACACCUAAGACAUUC
rnacentral:lncRNA from 1 species